GACGAACGCUGGCGGCGUGCUUAACACAUGCAAGUCGAACGGAAAGGCCCUGCUUUUGUGGGGUGCUCGAGUGGCGAGCGGGUGAGUAACACGUGAGUAACCUGCCCUUGACUUUGGGAUAACUUCAGGAAACUGGGGCUAAUACCGGAUAGGAGCUCCUGCUGCAUGGUGGGGGUUGGAAAGUUUCGGCGGUUGGGGAUGGACUCGCGGCUUAUCAGCUUGUUGGUGGGGUAGUGGCUUACCAAGGCUUUGACGGGUAGCCGGCCUGAGAGGGUGACCGGCCACAUUGGGACUGAGAUACGGCCCAGACUCCUACGGGAGGCAGCAGUGGGGAAUAUUGCACAAUGGGCGGAAGCCUGAUGCAGCAACGCCGCGUGCGGGAUGACGGCCUUCGGGUUGUAAACCGCUUUCGCCUGAGACGAAGCGUGAGUGACGGUAAUGGGUAAAGAAGCACCGGCUAACUACGUG
rnacentral:rRNA from 1 species